GGGUCAUCCGACCCGAAAGAAAACAAAACAAAAGGAGAGGAUUUUCUCUUAAGGUUUUUAUACAAAAAUUUUGAUCUAUGAAGAUUUAACUGUCCAAAUUCAAAUCCGUCUUCGGUAAUGUGAUCUAUGAAGCUCGAUCUACGUUUUUACUGAUCGUUUUGAGGUAAUGAGUUACUUGGAACUUGCUUGAAGCCACCCAAACCAUGGGUUUUGGUUUGGUGAAAUUUUGUGAUACAUUGCAAAGUGGUGUAUAGGAGACUUAGUGCUUAAUAUCCACGCAGCCAAGGUUCUGCUGAUAUAGAUAAUGACUUGUCCACCGAACGUAUGAGAUGCUAUGAUUUGAGCACAUCGCGACAGUUAUAAGUCAUGGACUCAUGGGUAGUCCGCAUUUGGGUAUUUUAUUUAUGGCUCGUGUCAUACGUGGCAUAUGUAUUUGUUGAGCCCGUAUUUUAGUGUAUAGUCAGUGCAAUAUGUUUUAUAAGCCUUAAAUAGAUAGACUUGUAAAUGGCUCUUUUUGUAAUUAACUGUUAUGUAUUA